rnacentral:rRNA from 1 species
UGGGGAAUUUUGGACAAUGGGCGAAGCCUGAUCCAGCAAUGCCGCGUGUGUGAAGAAGGCCUUCGGGUUGUAAAGCACUUUUGUCCGGAAAGAAAUCCUUGGCUCUAAUACAGUCGGGGGAUGACGGUACCGGAAGAAUAAGCACCGGCUAACUACGUGCCAGCAGCCGCGGUAAUACGUAGGGUGCAAGCGUUAAUCGGGAAUUACUGGGCGUAAAGCGUGCGCAGGCGGUUUGCUAAGACCGAUGUGAAAUCCCCGGGCUCAACCUGGGAACUGCAUUGGUGACUGGCAGGCUAGAGUAUGGCAGAGGGGGGUAGAUUGCCACGUGUAGCAGUGAAAUGCGUAGAGAUGUGGAGGAAUACCGAUGGCGAAGGCAGCCCCCUGGGCCAAUACUGACGCUCAUGCACGAAAGGCGUGGGGAGCAAACAGGAUUAGAUACCCU